rnacentral:rRNA from 1 species
CGUACGUGGGUGCGGAACACGUGUGCAACCUGCUUUAUCUGGGGGAUAGCCUUUCGAAACGGAAGAUUAAUACCCCAUAAUAUGUUGAAUGGCAUCAUUCGACAUUGAAAACUCCGGUGGAUAGAGAUGGGCACGCGCAAGAUUAGAUAGUUGGUGAGGUAACCGGUCACCAAGUCUACGAUCUUUAGGGGGGCCUGAGAGGGUGAUCCCCCAAACUUGGUACUGAGACACGGACCAGAUCCUACGGGAGGCACAGCAGUGAGGAACUAUUGGACAAUGGGGUGAGAGCCUGAUCCAGGCCAAUNCCGGUGAAGGACGAUUGGCCUAUGGGUUGUAAAAUUCUUUAGAAUAGGGAUAAACUACCUCGUGAGGGUAGCUGAAGGUACUAUAACGAAUAAAGGCACCGGGUAACUCCGGUGACCAAGAGNCCGAGGUAAAUACCGGGAAGGGUGCAAGCGUUAUCCGGAAUUUCAUGGGUUAAACACAGGGUCCGUAAGCGGAAUCUUGUAAAGGUCCAAGAUAGGGUGAAAUUCUUCAANAAGGUAUAACUUGGUGAAAAACUGGCACAAUUGGGAUUAACUUGGACAGGGUACUANGGAA